GCUGGUGGCACCUGGAACUACAGUUCCCAUGCUGCUGCGGGGGAGCGGGAACGCGGCAGCCACCGUCCCGCACUGUAUCCCAUAGUGCCCCACGGCGCCCUUGUUCUUGUAAGCGCGGCGGCCAGGGACUGAAGGUCGUGAAGGCGAAAGAAGCCCUCAGUCGUGCGCCGACCCGUUUCCCAUUCCGGCGCCAUGUUGGGUGCCAGCGUCCGCCGCUUCGCUACCUCCGCCGUCCGCAGAUCCCACUAUGAGGAGGGGCCGGGAAAGAACAUUCCGUUUUCUGUAGAAAACAAGUGGCGGCUACUAGGAUUAAUGGUAGUGUUCUUCGGAAGUGGGUUUGCCGCUCCUUUCAUCAUAGUAAGGCACCAACUGCUCAAGAAAUGAAGAGGACAAGUUUUAAUUCCUAUGAAAAGGAUAAAGAAAUGAAGGUUCAGACAGGCCAAAUGAUUCACCCAGUUUCAUUCAGGACAUCUGUAAAAGAGCUAAGAAGAACUCAGAAGCCCUGUCCAUCCUCCCUUGGCUGCAGUAUUUUAAACAAUGCCCAGGAGAUGGACAUUAGCAGCUGUCUGGAACAAUACAGCAUUGCAUUUAAAUACAUUUAAAAUAAUAGUAUUUGAUGGACUUAAUGAGAAUCGCUGUUCCAUUUUCUGUUUAAACAUUCCAUGAGUAGUUAAGUACUUUCCUUACUUACUUACCUUUUUCAUUAGUUAUGUAGAGAGCAUGGAAGAACAAACAGCACUUUGAAAAAUGUCACAGUAUAUAAAUAGCACUUCUGAGAACAUUAGUAAAGUUCUACUGAACUGCAAAACCAACAAGUUAGUGGUGAACUGUGAAGAUGCAGGCAAGAGAAGAACAUGUAAAAAUCAAGGCAAAAGGGCGAUCAAAUUACUUCCGUAAAGAACUGCAAUGUUGCAGUUCACGAAAUUUUACCAUGACUUUAUUGUGAGUCUGAAUAUUUUUCGUAAAACCCCAGCUCCUGUCAUUAAAUGAUUUUGUGAGAAUCUCAGUUUUCUCUUUUUCAUUUUAGCCCACUUGGUUGUGAAGAAAAGCUUGAAAGUGUGAUCUGAGUGAGGCUCAGAAAAUUAAAAAGAACUCCCAAGUUUUUUUUUUUUUUAAGUAUGAUUUUUCAAGCCCAUAAUCUCAUGAUUUUUUUGAGGCUUUAAUGAUUUCUGAAUGCUUGAGGUUGGCAUAUUGGAACUGUAAACCUCACGAGAAAUAGCACUAGUCUCACUUCAGCUCUCUGGACCCAAUGAAUUUCUUUGAUGACAAAAGGAAGUAUCUCAUCAGAAGUGAAGGAAAAACAUGGCAGCCACGGGCCAGCUGUAUUAUUAACCAUUGAUAUUUGAUAAACUGGGGAUUGUGUUUAACUAAAACCUCCAGACUUUGCAUGUAAAUAGUUUUCAUUGAGGAGAAGGCUCUACGUAUGUGUGGAAAGUAAAUAUAAAGUUAUUAAAUGAAUGAGAAAUCACUGCUGAGUAUGCUGAGAGGGGCAUCUGCUGAGGUUUACAGCAGAACGUAAAGAAGAUCUGCCCCUAUGAGAUCUCUGAAUGCAAAGCUUUCCUGACAGGCCCAAGAGCUGCCACUAGGACAGCUUACAGGAAGAGAAUUUGAAGUGUCUCAGGAAGUACACCACCACAGUGCUCCAAAACAAUGCAAAUUAUGUAUCUUUCCUGCUGUUGAAAAUGCACCUUCUAAUCAUCAGACCCCUUUAAAGUGGUUCAUGUUAAACAUCCAAAAACUGAGGUAUACAAAGCUACUAGUCACUUUUUAAAAUCUUGGCCUGUAUAGUUAAAAACAUAUAUUGAGCCCUGUCUCUUAUCCCUGAACACUUUAUAGAAAUGGCAAUGUAUUGCCUGAAAUUCAAAGCUCCUUCCCUUCAAGCAAUAAUUAUCCUGUGAAUCUUCAGCACUCCACUUGUACUGUGAGGGUUGAUAGUCCCCAGCCCUCUGUGUGACAGUCCUAUUUCGCUCCUGGUACUUUGCAGCCUUUCAUUCUUGCAGAAUUCAGAACAGUAGAGUGCAUGUUACACCUGAGAAUACAGCAAAACAUCUGGUUUCAUAGUGUUUCUGUUAUUCUCCUAGAGCUGCACAAAUUUCCUGUCCUUUUUUCUCCAUAGUGUGUUUCACUGUCUUUCUAUUACACUGUGUUCCUUCUCUGUGGAAAAAACAGACAGUGUAAAACAGUCUAGAAGACUUUUAGGACAAAGUUACAAUGGGUUCUUACGCUAUAAAGCAAGUAUAGCUUUAAACUAUAGUGGCAGUGAUGUUAUCAGUAAGGUCACAUAACAGUUUCCAUCCUAAACCUGUUUUAAGCCACACAGAACUUGUGAAAUUUACUUUUCAUGCUAAAAAAUUUCAAGCUUGGAAUUUGCCCUAAAAUGAAUUACUGAGAAAAAUUUGAACAAAAACCAAUCAUUUGCGUAUGAGCAUAAUUUCAAUACAUAUUUUCUAUUAAAAAAGUAUUUACAGUAAUUUUUGGACAGAUCUACUGUCAAAACAGCUAGGGAUAGAAAGUUAAAAUUGAAGAUUAAAAUAUAUCCAACUGAUAAGUACCUUUGGAUGUAGAGCUGGUUAGAAAAAAAAAUUUACAAUUUUUUUUGUUGAAAAAUGGAUCCCAUCAAAAUUGAAACACUUCACAAAAUUGUGUAGCUCAUACCAACGUUUUAUUGUAGAAAAAAGGUGCUAACAAUGCAAAAACAUCCUGUGUUGACAUUUUCAGUACAAAACAUUUCAGUGUAUCUCUUUGAAGUGACUUUGAUUUAAUUUUUAAAAUUUUGAAUAUACAUUUAUAUAAAAUUUGAAAAAUUUGAAACAGAAACAAAUAUUUUGAUUUUAUCAAAGCAAAACAUUCCAAUAGAGAAGGAUCUAUUUUUUUAUUUUAUUUCAGAAAAUUUCAGGAUUUUCAGGUUUUGUUUGAAACUAGAGUAAAAACAAGUGUCUCAAAAUCUGCCUUGAAAUGGAAUAUUUGUUCUCCACUGAGCUUUAUUUGGAUGUAUCAUUUCCUGUGUAUUUUUCUGUACUCUGUAUUAUGGCAUACCCAGAGUACUAGCAAGAAGUUAUAACUGUAUCUAAGUUUGUAGAAUUGUAUUAUAUUUUAUUGAGGAAAUAGUAUGUGUUCAUUUAAUUUAGACAACAUAAUGAAUAUGCACAAAGUGACAGACCUAAAAAUUGUAUUAAAAACCUCAAUGAUGGCAUGUCCAUGCGUGCUUAACUUUGAAAUUUAACAUUCUUCUAACUUAGUUCUUUGUUUGGAAUAAAUGAUGGUUUACAUAGCAUCACUGUGGUAAAUGUAUAUCUGAAUAAAGAUACUGUGUAGUUCUUA